rnacentral:rRNA from 1 species
AUACAUGCAGUCGAACGGUAGAUUACUUUCGGGUAGUUGAGAGUGGCGAACGGGUGCGUAACACGUAUGCAACCUACCCUAUACAGGGGGAUAGCCCGGAGAAAUCUGGAUUAAUACCCCAUGGUAUCAUUGGACUGCAUGGUUUAAUGAUUAAAGAUUCAUCGGUAUAGGAUGGGCAUGCGUCUGAUUAGCUAGUUGGCGGUGUAACGGACCACCAAGGCUACGAUCAGUAGGGGUUCUGAGAGGAAGGUCCCCCACACUGGCACUGAGAUACGGGCCAGACUCCUACGGGAGGCAGCAGUAGGGAAUAUUGGGCAAUGGACGAGAGUCUGACCCAGCCAUGCCGCGUGCAGGAAGACGGCGUUCUGCGUUGUAAACUGCUUUUAUCUGGGAAGAAAAUGCCCCUGCGGGGGAAAUUGCCGGUACCAGAUGAAUAAGCACCGGCUAACUCCGUGCCAGCAGCCGCGGUAAUACGGAGGGUGCAAGCGUUGUCCGGAUUUAUUGGGUUUAAAGGGUGCGUAGGCGGCUGUUUAAGUCAGUGGUGAAAGACUCCGGCUCAACCGGGGCAGUGCCAUUGAUACUGGACAGCUUGAGUAUUGGAGGGGUACAUGGAAUUGAUGGUGUAGCGGUGAAAUGCAUAGAUACCAUCAGGAACACCGAUAGCGAAGGCAUUGUACUGGCCAAUAACUGACGCUGAUGCACGAAAGCAUGGGUAGCGAACAGGAUAGAUACCCUGUAGUCAUGCCGUAACGAUGAUACUCGCUGUAUGCCUUAU